UACGGAGGGUGCGAGCGUUGUCCGGAAUCAUUGGGCGUAAAGGGCGCGUAGGUGGCCCGGUCAGCGUGCGGUGAAAGCUCGGGGCUCAACCCCGAGUCGGCCGUGCGAACUGCUGGGCUCGAGCACUGUAGAGGCAGGCGGAAUUCCGGGUGUAGCGGUGGAAUGCGUAGAGAUCCGGAAGAACACCGGUGGCGAAGGCGGCCUGCUGGGCAGUGGCUGACACUGAGGCGCGACAGCGUGGGGAGCGAACAGG
rnacentral:rRNA from 1 species